UCUGACUAUCGCGAAAACCCUUCGAGGAGGACUGGAGAAUAGGAUCGACGACAGCAGCCGCUCCUCAGUCCGGUCGGUGCACGAGUGUUUUCUUUGCCGUAUCACUUCUUCACUGAUCCGAGAGCAAAAUGGUUUUGCAACAUCAUCCUUCGUAUGAGUAAGUCGCGAAUCCACGCCAACUUUCCACGAAAUGGUCUCAUUACAGGUAUUUAUCAAAAUAGAUCAUAGUUAAUGAAAAAAUAUUAAAUUAUUUUAAAUUGAGGUACUUGGAACGUUAUGCACUAAGAUUUGACAAAUGUUAAAUCAUCUUUUAUAGCAUGGAACAAAUUUGAAAUUAAUAAAUAAACGGAACGGUGAAUAUUGUAUGUUGGUCCAACAAAAACAUAAUCACGGAAUAAACAUUUAUCUAUACACAAAAGAAGCAAUAACAGCCUUAGUCAAUGACGUAGAACAACAAGAGUUAAUGGCCAAUUUGAACGUGUCAACUAACACAGCAAGUAAUGUGAACUUGCAACAGCUUUUUAUAUUUAAAGCGUUGAUACUUUCGAAAUAUUAUUUCCUUCAUAAAAUAAUAUUGAUUCCAGAGAAUAAACGUAACAAUGAACAAGAGAAUAGUUAAAAGUGUUAUCGAUAUCGUUGAAUUUAAACGGCCGAUUAAUUUUCAAGUGGUGCAUUUCCCUCGAUCAUUGAUGAUCCCCGCGACUUAUUUCUCCGCCGUCUGGGAGACAUACAAAUGAAUAAAUUACGUUCGUUCGGCAUUCAUUAUUUGUCGAUACAAUGCACAGACACGUACAAAUUAUUCAGAAUACAGUAUUCCUUCUCCAUUUAAAGACGCAGCAUCUCGAGCCGUAUGACGUUUAAUUUUUUCCAUAAAAUCAGACGCAUCGCGGUAUUUAUGAUUGCGCGAUCACGUGAUACCUAGACAGACGUACGUUCAAGGGGAAAUACAAUAUCGUGAAUAAUAAUUGAAAGCAAACCGUUUGCAGCAUGCUGCAUUCUCGCGCAUAGAGAUCAUUCGUUGAACAGGUAAAGUCUCUAUGAAAUAAGAAGCAACGACUACAAAAUUUCAAAGAAAAAAGUUAAUUCAAUAAGGUAAUUCUUUACAAUGCUUAAAUUCUAUGAUUUUCACGUGCCAUUCUUUAUUGAAUUGUUGCAAAACAAUGACACUUACGUUUAAAAACAAUAACAACUUCUUUUAAUGCAAUGCAUACAAUAACAUAAAAUUAUAUAAAAUAAAGACCCCUUUUGCAAAACACUUGAUAUAUUUAUAGUAAAAUUGUUGUACAGAUAAAAUUAGAUAUAUCUACAUAUAUUAUGUCAUGGAUACAUAUAGACAUGUGAUAUAUAUUGUAUAAUAGAGGAUUAAAUAGAGUUUGAAAUACCUAAAGUACCUCUAUUUGUGCAAUAAAAUCCUCAUCAUUUUAUACAAAACAUUUUAGAUAAAAUAUUCAUCAUUUUAUACUACUAUAUCGUAAAAGUCUUUAAUCAUUAAGUCUCCUAAGUACACUUGCGAUUUGCUUGUUUUUAAUAUUUGGCUGUAUGUAUGUUACCAUUGCACAAUGUUUUUUCGAACAAAAGUUAAAAAAAUAAACAUCAGCUGUCAAAACUGUUCAAAUAAUAAAUACAUUGAUAUUGUUUUAAAUUUAAUUUGGAAAAUCAAGCUUCUAAGGGUUAAACACUACCAUUAAUUUCUUCGAUACCCCAAGUCUAAUCAGAAAAUUACGUGUCACCAGUAAUAUUAUCUUCUUCCUUUCGAAAUACCUACCAUCUGCUAUCUUUCUGUGCUCUCACAAAAUUCAUGUAAAUUAACCUGUUUGCUAUUUUUGUACUACCCUCCCUCGGGCAGCUAUCGAGAAACGUGCGCGAAGCCUUUCGUUGAUCCUACAGUAAUUAACGGACUGAUCAAUCAAGUCGAUGGAAGGAAAAGCAUCGCGGCCGUCUAUCGACUAAUAUCGAGUUUUACGGAAGUAUUCCCGCCCCGUUAAUUUUUUGCGUGUCCUCAUCCGACAACAGAAACGCCAAGGUAUUCCCCGACGCUCUCUCACCUACUGUAUAUUAAAUGGCGUUCAUGGUUUGCCAGUCAAAUUGAAUCCCAGGCUAUUGGCAGAUUCUGAAUAAGCUUUAACAAUGGAGUCUGUUACACGAGCCUUCCUACUUUCUGCCUCCCUUGGCGCCCUUCAUCCCACUUUCGGUACCUGGUACCUUCGUUCCCGCUACGAAGCCGCUCCUCCUACCUUCGACCCCUUAUUCUUCGGUUUCCUUCAAUUUCCGAGACAGGAAAGCCAUGUCUGUGCAGCCGCCCCGCUAGCUCGGAAAUUGGAAAUAAAUCGUGACGAUGUCGAUGUAAAAUGUAAAGGUGAUCGUCGGCCAGCGUCAAGUGAAACCGCUUCUUCCAUUAUCGACGACAUUUUGUUCCGACGAUGUAUCGUACGUUGCACGUGAUCUGGACCAAUCAUUGGCUCGAAUGGUGUAUUUUUAAAGAGGAAAGUCACCUUGGACGAGUGAUAAUCAUAGCUACAUUCAACAAUUUUUUUCUUUUAAUAAUGAACUCGAUAGAAAAUUUGCCUUCUUCCCUUAAAUUGCUCUAUCCUAAAACGUGGUUUAGUAUGCUAGUAUAAUUUGACAGGUUUCUGUCGCUGGUCAUCAUUUCUUACAUUUGUGCUCCCGAGAACUUUGCAUGCUGUAAGUCACUGAAUCAUCUUUCACCUUGCGAUGCAAGUGACGUGAAUUCACGUAAGCGGUCACGAAUGUGUUAAUUACUAAGCCACGAACCGGAAGACCUAAUUCCUGAAAACUAUCUCUAGAAAAAGAAAUUAUUCAUAUCUCUUCCAAAUAAGUUAAAAAAAAAAAAGAAAAACAA